rnacentral:rRNA from 1 species
AGUGAACGCUGGCGGUAGGCCUAACACAUGCAAGUCGAACGGCAGCACAGUAAGAGCUUGCUCUUACGGGUGGCGAGUGGCGGACGGGUGAGGAAUACAUCGGAAUCUACUUUUUCGUGGGGGAUAACGUAGGGAAACUUACGCUAAUACCGCAUACGACCUACGGGUGAAAGCAGGGGAUCUUCGGACCUUGCGCGAUUGAAUGAGCCGAUGUCGGAUUAGCUAGUUGGCGGGGUAAAGGCCCACCAAGGCGACGAUCCGUAGCUGGUCUGAGAGGAUGAUCAGCCACACUGGAACUGAGACACGGUCCAGACUCCUACGGGAGGCAGCAGUGGGGAAUAUUGGACAAUGGGCGCAGGCCUGAUCCAGCCAUACCGCGUGGGUGAAGAAGGCCUUCGGGUUGUAAAGCCCUUUUGUCGGGAAAGAAAAGCAGCAGGUUAAUACCCCGCUGUUCUGACGGUACCCAAAGAAUAAGCACCGGCUAACUUCGUG